rnacentral:lncRNA from 1 species
UUUAUUAGGAUGUUGCAAUGAGAUAGGAAUUACGAGGAAGAUGUAAACAGUUUUCUAGCCAUUGACUUCUUGUAUUCCACAGCAUGUACACAAUUUCUCUCCUUUGAGAUUGGUGGUUUAGCAAGCACAAGGUCCCAGGUCCUCAGCUUCGGAAAAAGAAAAAGAUCAACAGAUGACCCUUGAAUACUAAUAUUACCCAUGUGCCAUACAAAGCUUGUCAUGUGCUGGGGAAGUGAUUUCUGGGUGUAUAUCAGUCA